CUGCGCGCCAUGUUUCUGGAGUCGAGACGCGUGAGGAAGCUUCGCUGAUCAAACGAGAACAAAGGAGCGGUGCGUUUGGAUGAUUACAGAUGAGACUUUAUGUACUGCAGAUAAUGAAUCAAGAUCAGUACAGAUUUGUUACUGGAGAUACAGUGGGGAAACACAGACCAGUAGAAAAGGUAACAAACCAAAGGAAGAGGACAGCAGCUUUGUUGUGUCAGUCGUGGUAAAUACAGGAACAUCCUUCAUUAAGAUGUGCAAGAGAAGCUUGCAAGGCAAGAUGAGGGAAAAAAAUUAAAGCCCAGUGUCAGUGAAGAUGGUGUGAUCAGGAAAUCUGAAGGAACAUCUCUCAGUACUCUACUACGAUGUUGCCCUGAUGAUGAUUGAGACAAGUUGUCAACGACAAGCCUGACAUCAGCCAGAUGGUACUUCAAAGGCCAGCUCUUUUCACAAUGAAUCAGCUGACAGGACAGACUCCAGUAAGAAUCCUCAGUGUUGAUCAAGAAAGUCCACAGCUCAACCCGUCUAGAGUGGGAAUUAUCUUGGAAGAAAGUUUGGUAAUGGAUGAACUGACCAAUAUCAGGCCUUCUAUGUCCAUUUUUUUUUUCUUCAUUUUAUUCCCUGCACCUGGACUAUCCUAAGUGCAUGAAAAGCACUUAAUAUUUUAUUCAGCAAGUAAUGCUCAACCUCAGAAAAGGUGAGCUGGCACCCAAAAUUCAAUACUGCCAAUAUUGUGAACUCUGAGUGGAAACAAACCAUAUAGUUUUGAUGCCAUUUGUUGUGAUUCUGAGAUAGACUGUGAAUGUGUUUAACAAUAAGUUAAUUUGCUAAACUAGUUUUUUUUUCAUGUUUUUAUGGGAAAUGUUUUCAGGAUAUGAAAAA